CCUACGGGCUGCAGCAGUGAGGAAUAUUGGUCAAUGGGCGGAAGCCUGAACCAGCCAAGUAGCGUGCAGGAUGACGGCCCUACGGGUUGUAAACUGCUUUUAUACGGGAAUAAUGCGCUUUACGUGUAGGGUUUUGCCAGUACCGUAUGAAUAAGCAUCGGCUAACUCCGUGCCAGCAGCCGCGGUAAUACGGAAGGUGCGGGCGUUAUCCGGAUUUAUUGGGUUUAAAGGGAGCGUAGGCCGGAUGUUAAGUGUGCGGGGAAAUGUUCGGGCUUAACCCGGGCCAUGCAACGAGCAUUGGCGUGCUUGAGACCGCGGAAGGCAGGCGGAAUUCGUCAAGUAGCGGGGAAAUGCUUAGAUAUGACGAAGAACCCCGAUAGCGAAGGCAGCUUGCUGCAGCGGAACUGACGCUGAUGCUCGAGAGCACGGGUAUCGAACAGGAUUAGAUACCCGUGUAGUC
rnacentral:rRNA from 1 species